rnacentral:rRNA from 1 species
GACAGAGGCCUCAAGCGUUAGGCGGAAUCACUGGGCUUAAAGCGUGUGUAGGCGGAUCGUUUAAGUGCCUUGUGAAAUCCCACGGCUUUAACUGUGGAACGGCUGGGCAUACUGGCGGUCUUGAGCCAUCUAGGGGCGACUGGAACAAACGGUGGAGCGGUGAAAUGCGUAGAUAUCGUUUGGAACGCCAAUGGUUGAAAACAGGUCGCUGGGGAUGAGCUGACGCUGAGACACGAAAGCCAGGGGAGCAAACGGG